rnacentral:rRNA from 1 species
UACGGAGGGUGCGAGCGUUGUCCGGAAUCACUGGGCGUAAAGGGCGCGUAGGCGGCCUGGCAAGUCGAUGGUGAAAGCCCGAGGCUCAACUUCGGGUCGGCCACUGAUACUGCUGGGCUUGAGUCGACUAGAGGCAGAUGGAAUUCCGGGUGUAGCGGUGGAAUGCGUAGAGAUCCGGAAGAACACCGGUGGCGAAGGCGGUCUGGUGGGGUCGAACUGACGCUGAGGCGCGACAGCGUGGGGAGCAAACAGG